AUUGAACGCUGGCGGCAGGCCUAACACAUGCAAGUCGAGCGGAUGAGAAGAGCUUGCUCUUCGAUUCAGCGGCGGACGGGUGAGUAAUGCCUAGGAAUCUGCCUGGUAGUGGGGGACAACGCUUCGAAAGGAACGCUAAUACCGCAUACGUCCUCCGGGAGAAAGAAGGGGACCUUCCGGCCUUGCGCUAUCAGGUGAGCCCAGGUCGGAUUAGCUAGUUGGUGAGGUAAUGGCUCACCAAGGCGACGAUCCGUAACUGGUCUGAGAGGAGGAUCAGUCACACUGGAACUGUGACACGGUCCAGACUCCUACGGGAGGCAGCAGUGGGGAAUAUUGGACAAUGGGCGAAAGCCUGAUCCAGCCAUGCCGCGUGUGUGAAGAAGGUCUUCGGAUUGUAAAGCACUUUAAGUUGGGAGGAAGGGCAGUAAGUUAAUACCUUGCUGUUUUGACGUUACCGACAGAAUAAGCACCGGCUAACUCUGUGCCAGCCGCCGCGGUAAAAC
rnacentral:rRNA from 1 species